rnacentral:rRNA from 1 species
UACGUAGGUGACAAGCGUUGUCCGGAUUUACUGGGCGUAAAGAGCGCGCAGGCGGUCGUUCAAGUCGAGUGUGAAAGCCCCCGGCUCAACUGGGGAGGGUCACUCGAUACUGAUCGACUCGAAGGCAGGAGAGGGAAGUGGAAUUCCCGGUGUAGUGGUGAAAUGCGUAGAUAUCGGGAGGAACACCAGUGGCGAAGGCGGCAUCCUGGACCGGUAUUGACGCUGAGGCGCGAAAGCCAGGGGAGCAAACGGG